rnacentral:rRNA from 1 species
GACGAACGCUGGCGGCGUGCUUAACACAUGCAAGUCGAACGGAAAGGCCCUGCUUUUGUGGGGUGCUCGAGUGGCGAACGGGUGAGUAACACGUGAGUAACCUGCCCUUGACUUUGGGAUAACUUCAGGAAACUGGGGCUAAUACCGGAUAGGAGCUCCUGCUGCAUGGAGGGGGUUGGAAAGUUUCGGCGGGUGGGGAUGGACUCGCGGCUUAUCAGCUUGUUGGUGGGGUAGUGGCUUACCAAGGCUUUGAAGGGUAGCCGGCCUGGGAGGGUGACCGGCCACAUGGGGCCUGAGAUACGGCCCAGACUCCUACGGGAGGCAGCAGUGGGGAAUAUUGCACAAUGGGCGGAAGCCUGAUGCAGCAACGCCGCGUUCGGGAUGACGGCCUUCGGGUUGUAAACCGCUUUCGCCUGUGACGAAGCGUGAGUGACGGUAAUGGGUAAAGAAGCACCGGCUAACUACGUG